CACGGCUGCUCUCCUUCAGCUCCGUAACUUGGUGGAGCUGCAGGAGGAGCUGAAUAGUUUUCUUGUAACUUUCCUGUUGAAAUAAUUUUUUGAAGACAUUUCAAGAGUUUAUAUAUUUCUUGAGCUCCCCAACUCCACUUGAAUUUUCUUGCCAAAACAUUGGAGUUCUGUGUAAAUAUUAAAGUUAAUACGUCUCUGGAAAAUGCCUGUCUGUAGCUGAAUGAAGACCCCUGUCCCUUCUGUCUGCUACAACAAAACAUCAUCAUCAUUAUCAUCAUCAUCAAACCACAGGGUUUCCCCCCCCGCCAUGACUCACACACAGAUCUAAGACAGACUCUAACCUCCGGCACGGCGCUGUCAUCUCUACUACUGUCCACCCACAUCUUGUCCCAACCUCCUGAAGAUGCGGUCAGGAAAAGCCCCCCAAGAGGAGAAGGGGGCGUUACUGGACAGCACUCUGCCACCACAGGAAGAGGCUUCUUCUCAAAACGUUAUCCCCCAUCAAUCCAGUCAGCAACGAUACAAAAAGACAGAGAAGAGCUUCCUCCGUCACAUGUG